rnacentral:misc_RNA from 1 species
GAUGAAGAACGUAGCGAAAUGCGAUAAGUAAUGUGAAUUGCAGAAUUCAGUGAAUCAUCGAAUCUUUGAACGCACAUUGCGCCCCCUGGUAUUCCGGGGGGCAUGCCUGUCCGAGCGUCAUUACAACCCUCAAGCUCAGCUUGGUGUUGGGCCCCGCCGCCCCGGCGGGCCCUAAAGUCAGUGGCGGUGCCGUCCGGCUCCGAGCGUAGUAAUUCUUCUCGCUCUGGAGGUCCGGUCGUGUGCUCGCCAGCAACCCCCAAUUUUUUUCAGGUUGACCUCGGAUCAGGUAGGGAUACCCGCUGAACUUAAGCAUAUCAAUAAGCGAGGA